CUAAUCACAAAGGGGAGUCCAUCUGGGCUGAGAUUGAGUUUACUCUAAACCCUUCGUACCUGUUUCGAUCAUUCGAACGUAGGAAUUGUGACGAGUUGAAGU
rnacentral:ncRNA from 2 species